rnacentral:tRNA from 1 species
GAGAGUAUAGCUUAGUGGUAGAGCAUGUGUUUAGUGUGCACGAGGUCCUGGGAUCAAUCCCCAGUACUACCA